rnacentral:rRNA from 1 species
AGCGAACGCUGGCGGCAUGCUUAACACAUGCAAGUCGCACGGGCAGUAGCAAUACUGUCAGUGGCGACGGGUGAGUAACGCGUAGGAAUCUAUCCUUGAAUGGGGGACAACCGUGGGAAACUACGGCUAAUACCGCAUGAUGCCUGAGGGCCAAAGACGAAAGUCGUUUGAGGAGGAGCCUGCGUCUGAUUAGGUAGUUGGUGGGGUAAAGGCCUACCAAGCCCUACGAUCAGUAGCUGGUCUGAGAGGAUGAUCAGCCACAUUGGGACUGAGACACGGCCCAAACUCCUACGGGAGGCAGCAGUGGGGAAUAUUGGACAAUGGGCGCAAGCCUGAUCCAGCAAUGCCGCGUGGGUGAAGAAGGUCUUCGGAUUGUAAAGCCCUUUUGGCGGGGACGAUGAUGACGGUACCCGCAGAAUAAGCUCCGGCUAACUUCGUG